CCUACGGGGGGCUGCAGUGGGGAAUAUUGGACAAUGGGGGGAACCCUGAUCCAGCCAUGCCGCGUGUGUGAAGAAGGCCCUCGGGUUGUAAAGCACUUUCAGUGAGGAAGAACGCCUGGUGGUUAAUACCCAUCAGGAAAGACAUUACUCACAGAAGAAGCACCGGCUAACUCCGUGCCAGCAGCCGCGGUAAUACGGAGGGUGCGAGCGUUAAUCGGAAUUACUGGGCGUAAAGCGCGCGUAGGUGGCUUGAUAAGCCGGUUGUGAAAGCCCCGGGCUCAACCUGGGAACGGCAUCCGGAACUGUCAAGCUAGAGUGCAGGAGAGGAAGGUAGAAUUCCCGGUGUAGCGGUGAAAUGCGUAGAGAUCGGGAGGAAUACCAGUGGCGAAGGCGGCCUUCUGGACUGACACUGACACUGAGGUGCGAAAGCGUGGGUAGCAAACAGGAUUAGAUACCCUAGUAGUC
rnacentral:rRNA from 1 species